UAGGGAAUCUUCCGCAAUGGACGCAAGUCUGACGGAGCAACGCCGCGUGAGUGAAGAAGGAUUUCGGUUCGUAAAACUCUGUUGUUAGAGAAGAACAGCGCAUAGAGUAACUGUUAUGCGUGUGACGGUAUCUAACCAGAAAGCCACGGCUAACUACGUGCCAGCAGCCGCGGUAAUACGUAGGUGGCAAGCGUUGUCCGGAUUUAUUGGGCGUAAAGCGAGCGCAGGCGGUCAAUUAAGUCGGAUGUGAAAGCCCCCGGCUCAACCGGGGAGGGUCAUUGGAAACUGGUUGACUUGAGUGCAGAAGAGGAGAGUGGAAUUCCAUGUGUAGCGGUGAAAUGCGUAGAUAUAUGGAGGAACACCAGUGGCGAAGGCGACUCUCUGGUCUGUAACUGACGCGGAGGUUCGAAAGCGUGGGUAGCAAACAGG
rnacentral:rRNA from 1 species